CAGAGCCUCACAGAGCAGGACAGCAUGUGCUCAUCUCUACUGUAGGCUCUGUCUGAAUGCAGGUACCCUCCACUGGGUCCUCCUUCAGGAAAGAUGAUCAAUGCAAUGGAUUCCUCAGGCCACAAGACAGCUUACAGCAACGGAUUCCAAGGAAUUUUGGCUUGGUUCCUUGGCGGAGGGAGACCCGGAGGAAUGAUGGAGCGCUCUCUCCUCUCCACCCCAUCCACACAUGGUCCUCUUCAUUUCAGCGUCCGGAGCAAUGGGCAGUAAACCCAGGGGCGUUGGGGAAGAGCUUGCACCAGAAGAACCUGGGACUCGGCCCAGACUCGGCUGCUUCCUGCUGGAGUCACCUCUCUGAGCCUCAGUUUCCCUCUCUGUAAAGGGGGAAUAGCAAUAGUAGACAGAUGCACUACCCAUGCGGCUAGGAAUCCACUAGUUGAGAUGCUGAGUACCGAAGUAAAUGGUGUCUCUUGCCCCUCACCUCUCAGGACAUCAGGAUCUUGGAACCUCACAAGAUGGAAGGGGAGACUUUGACCCUAACCACAGUCACAUACAUGAUUGUAAAGUUGCAUCUGGGCUAAAAGCCUUGAAGGAUGGUACAUGAGACCUAUAAACAUUUUGAAGUUGUUUGA